rnacentral:rRNA from 1 species
ACUCAAAGGAAUUGACGGGUGCCCGCACAAGCAGUGGAGUAUGUGGUUUAAUUCGAAGCAACGCGAAGAACCUUACCAGGGCUUGACAUCCUACUAACGAAACAGAGAUGUAUCAGGUGCCCUUCGGGGAAAGUAGAGACAGGUGGUGCAUGGUUGUCGUCAGCUCGUGUCGUGAGAUGUUGGGUUAAGUCCCGCAACGAGCGCAACCCUUACGGUUAGUUGCUACGCAAGAGCACUCUAGCCGGACUGCCGUUGACAAAACGGAGGAAGGUGGGGACGAGGUCAAAUCAUCAUGCCCCUUAUGUCCUGGGCUACACACGUACUACAAUGGCGGUAAACAGCGGGUCGCGAAGCCGCGAGGCGGAGCCAAUCCCCAAAAGCCGCCCCAGUUCAGAUUGCAGGCUGCAACUCGCCUGCAUGAAGUCGGAAUUGCUAGUAAUCGCGAAUCAGCAUGUCGCGGUGAAUACGUUCCCGGGCAUUGUACACACCGCCCGU